GCUAAGAAUAUUCCGCAAUGGACGAAAGUCUGACGGAGCGACGCCGCGUGGAUGAUGAAGGCCGUGAGGUUGUAAAAUCCUUUUAUAACAGAGGAAUAAGCAGAAGAGUGGAAUGCUUCUGUGGUGACUGUAAGUUAUGAAUAAGCACCGGCUAAUUACGUGCCAGCAGCCGCGGUAACACGUAAGGUGCGAGCGUUGUUCGGAAUUAUUGGGCGUAAAGGGCAUGUAGGCGGUCUGGCAAGCUUGGUGUGAAAUCCCGGGGCUUAACCCCGGAACUGCAUUGAGAACUACUGGACUAGAAUCACUGAGGGGGAGCCGGAAUUCCAGGUGUAGGGGUGAAAUCUGUAGAUAUCUGGAAGAACACCAAUGGCGAAGGCAGGCUUCUAGCAGAUGAUUGACGCUGAGGUGCGAAGGUGCGGGGAGCAAACAGGAUUAGAUACCCCAGUAGUCC
rnacentral:rRNA from 1 species